rnacentral:rRNA from 1 species
CCUACGGGAGGCAGCAGUGAGGAAUAUUGGUCAAUGGCCGGAAGGCUGAACCAGCCAAGCCGCGUGAAGGACGAAGGUGCCAAGCAUUGUAAACUUCUUUUGUCAAGGGACAAAAUCAGGCUCGAGAGCCUGACCGAGGGUACUUGAAGAAAAAGCAUCGGCUAACUCCGGGCCAGCAGCCGAGGUAAGAAGGAGGAUGCGAGCGUUAUCCGGAUUUAUUGGGUUUAAAGGGUGCGUAGGCGGGCUGUUAAGUCAGCGGUAAAAGCCCGGGGCUCAAACCCGGCGAGCCGUUGAAACUGGCUGUCUUGAGAUGUCGAGAGGUAUGCGGAAUGCGCAGUGUAGCGGUGAAAUGCUUAGAUAUUGCGCAGAACUCCGAUUGCGAAGGCAGCAUACCGGCGGCGAUCUGACGCUGAUGCACGAAAGCGUGGGUAUCAAACAGGAUUAGAUACCCGAGUAGUC